AGAGUUUGAUCAUGGCUCAGAGUGAACGCUGGCGGCGUGCUUAACACAUGCAAGUCGAACGAUGAAGCAACUGCUUGCAGUUGUGGAUUAGUGGCGCACGGGUGAGUAAUGGAUAGGUAACCUGCCUCAUAGUCUGGGACAACAGUUGGAAACGACUGCUAAUACUGGAUAUUCCCUACGGGGGAAAGAUUUAUCGCUAUGAGAUGGGCCUAUCUCCUAUCGGCUAGUUGGUAAGGUAACGGCUUACCAAGGCAAUGACGGGUAGCUGGUCUUAGAGGACGAUCAGCCACACUGGAACUGAGACACGGUCCAGACUCCUACGGGAGGCAGCAGUGGGGAAUAUUGCACAAUGGGGGAAACCCUGAUGCAGCAACGCCGCGUGGAGGAUGACGCAUUUCGGUGUGUAAACUCCUUUUAUCAAGGAAGAAAUUGACGGUACUUGAGAAU
rnacentral:rRNA from 1 species